AGUGCAGUAGUCUAUAGCACCAGGGAUGGGCGAAAGAGACAGGAUGGAGUUGACACACACAACAUGACCAUUUUGCAGUUCCAGCAUACGAGGCAAGAAGGCUUUUGUGGUCUGUGGAUGAAAAUAUUAUUAAAAGCUCCACGCACGGCGAACUCCUUAGCCAGGUGACGGCCGAUGCCCCGUCCGCCACCAGUGAUAAGUACCACGUCUCCGGUCAGAUCUCUCCGCCUGCUCGCCCGCAGUGCUCAGACUCAGGCAGAGGAAGGAUUCCUGCAGACCAGUGCACCUCCAGAACAUGGAGACCUUUGUAAAUGGCUCUUUAACUCACACAGUAAACCCAGGAGCCGCUGUGGAGAUUCCAGACUGUGAUUUUUGGCCUGGCCUCUGCUUCUACUGCUUAAAGCUGAAUGAAGGGCUGCUCAGACUGGACUGGGUCAAAAUGCAGGCUCACAAAGACUGCUUUGUGCUAUGCUGUGCCUUUUAGUAAUGGCCCAGCAACUCUCAGAAAGUUUAAUAGUUGUCUGGUAGGUGGAAAAAAAAUGUUUCACUUGAUUUUGGGCUUUUCUGGAUCUGUUUAUCAAAAACAUGCCUAAAAUCACAGAUGCUCACUUAAUUUUCUUAUGUUGCACAAUAUUGUACAACCAUUUUUCUCUGUUUUUAUUUGAUGGUUUUAUUUUAUCUUACACAUUUUGUUGUGGAGAUAUAGCAGCAUGAUGAUGCCUAACAAAAAGGCUUUCUCUUUUCAGUUAGAGUGUCACUGCCAUCUACAGAUCCAACAGCGAAAGUUCACUAAAUCUGAUGAAUUCUCAGUGGUAGCCAUAGUGCAAACAUUGUCUGUCAUGGAAGAUAGUUUUAUCAUUUGCAUUUGCAUAGUAAUAGGAUUAAAGGAACCGAGUUAGUUUCCAGUUGAUGAAUAUGAGUGUUUUGUCUUCACUAAAGCUGUGCCACCAUCAGUUAUCUCUUAUGUAAACAUUCAGCCAGCAUAUUUUCAUGUGCAUUGUUGAAAUACUAAUUAGCUUAUCUGGUCAGUUAGAACACACCUAGUGGGCAUUAGUCAGGGUUGGCAGAUUUCAUUUGUAUUGUGGUCAGACUUUACAUCUGCUUGGAUACUAUAAAUUCAUACAGUACCAUAUGCUUUUACUAGGGCUGUUACCAGCAUUGGGGAGUAACUAGUUAUAUGUAACUGUGCUACAGUAUGUAAUUUAAUUACAAAAUAAAUGUAACUGUAAUCCUUUAUGGUUACUGAUAAAAAAAAAAAAUGUCUAAUUGAAUGACAGUU